UAAGACAAGAAGAAGCACCCGCUUCUCACCUGAUCGACGCUCUAUUGCAGUUGACUGGUUCCGAACUUUUUUAAACGAUUGGAGACGUGUGGGUGCAUUUUGUACCGACGCUUUUUUAAUGUA
rnacentral:sRNA from 1 species